rnacentral:rRNA from 1 species
AACGAACGCUGGCGGCAUGCCUAACACAUGCAAGUCGAACGAGAUCUUCGGGUCUAGUGGCGCACGGGUGCGUAACGCGUGGGAAUCUGCCCUUUGGUUCGGAAUAACAGUUGGAAACGACUGCUAAUACCGGAUGAUGACGAAAGUCCAAAGAUUUAUCGCCAGAGGAUGAGCCCGCGUAGGAUUAGCUAGUUGGUGUGGUGAAGGCGCACCAAGGCGACGAUCCUUAGCUGGUCUGAGAGGAUGAUCAGCCACACUGGGACUGAGACACGGCCCAGACUCCUACGGGAGGCAGCAGUGGGGAAUAUUGGACAAUGGGCGAAAGCCUGAUCCAGCAAUGCCGCGUGAGUGAUGAAGGCCUUAGGGUUGUAAAGCUCUUUUACCCGGGAUGAUAAUGACAGUACCGGGAGAAUAAGCUCCGGCUAACUCCGUGCCAGCCGCCGCAGUAAGAC